UCCGGAAAUGGAGCCGGGUGCCAGCCAGGCUCUGUGCAGCCAAAUUGGCACCGUGGCUGCUCCGGGAGGCCGCCAGGGCGGACUGUCCCCUUGCUGCGCUGACACCAGCUCCCAUCGCGAUGGGCCCGAUGACAAACAGGAAUCACUUCUAAGGAAUGUUUUAGCCGAGCUCUUUCGUCACUUCAGCAGGGGGCCCCGCGGGCCGGAUAGACUGGGCUACAGGGCCGCAUCUGGCCCGCGGGCCGCAUUUUGCCCACCCCGAUGUAUUGAGAAGCACCAACGUAGCAGCCAUCCAUCGGGGUCGAGCCCCUAAAAAGGAAGACUCUGAGGUUUUGAGUGACCCUGUUUUGUUUCGAGGACUGGGAAUUCAGUGCAAGAAACCCCCAAAACGGGCUUUCCCCCAACUCGAUCCAAAAGCAGGCAAGAACAACCAAAAAAUAAAAAGAUCAAAGUCCUUAAAAUGAAAAAAAUAAUAGUAAUAAAAGCCUGUUGCCUGCA